UACAGAGGGGGCAAGCGUUAUUCGGAAUUAUUGGGCGUAAAGGGCGCGUAGGCGGCAUGGCAAGUGGAUGGUGAAAUCCCUCGGCUUAACCGAGGAACUGCCGUCCAAACUGCUUCGCUUGAGACCGGGAGAGGUGAGUGGAAUUCCCAGUGUAGCGGUGAAAUGCGUAGAUAUUGGGAGGAACACCAGUGGCGAAGGCGGCUCACUGGACCGGUACUGACGCUGAAGCGCGAAAGCGUGGGGAGCAAACGGGG
rnacentral:rRNA from 1 species